AUCAAUAAAAUCCGAUAAUCAGAUUUUUGUAUUUUAAGAUCUUAAAAAAUGAUCUUAGAAUACAAAAAUAAGUUUUUUUUGUUGUUGCAAAAAUAGGGGAAUAUAUCAUCUAAAAUGGAGUAAGAAAUUAGGAUAGAAAGACUGUGGAAAUAAUUUGGUCAAAACCAUUGUUUGCUGGGCCUAUAAAUGGCAAGAACUCCAUCUCCAUCUGCAUCUAUGUAUGUAUCUAGGGUUCGGGAAGCACAUUCGAAAGAACGUAGAAAAGCCAUAUCCGAUUAUAUAAUCUAGGUUUGGAUUCUUCUAUCUCCUUAACCAUCUCCUUAUUACUUUCUUCUAUAUCAUGUAAGGGCUGGAUGUAAAUAGGGGAGAGCUUUAUAUACGAUGGCUCUGAAAAACUUGCAGGUACUCUGUAGGGUGCCUUGUCAUUCCUUAGCCCUAUACAUUAAAUUUUAAGAUGGUAUCAUAGUACUGAUUUCGUGCUUGAAAGUUGGUUUGUAUUUGAUUGUGAUGUUUGGCGCUUUGCCAAAUUUCCUUUCGCCUACAAUCCCCUUUCAUUUCGUCACAAAUUCGCUUCCAAACGCCAUUACAUUUCUUUGUUUGCUUAUUAUUAUCUUUCGAUUCUCUAUGUCAUUGACAACAAGUAUUUUUUGAAAACAGUGAUUUUUGAUUCAUAGUUUCAUAUUUUGUAAUUAUACUUUAGUGUUGGUAAUGAAAAAACCUUAGCAUAGGGUGCCUAUGCUUACAAAUGCACAUUGAAAGAACCAUAUUGCCGUUGGUAUUCAGCAGAUUGAAACUAGUUGAUGAAUGGUUAUUAUAAUCAAUAAAAUCCGGUAAUCAGAUUUUUGUAUAUUAAGAUCUUAAAAAAUGAUCUUAAAAUACAAAAAUAAUUGUUUUUUGUUGUUGCAAAAAC
rnacentral:lncRNA from 1 species